rnacentral:rRNA from 1 species
GACGAACGCUGGCGGCGUGCUUAACACAUGCAAGUCGAACGGAAAGGCCCCUUUGGGGGUACUCGAGUGGCGAACGGGUGAGUAACACGUGAGUAACCUGCCCUUGACUUCGGGAUAACGUCAGGAAACUGGGGCUAAUACCGGAUAGGAAUCCUUGCUGCAUGGUGGGGGUUGGAAAGUUUCGGCGGUUUUGGAUGGACUCGCGGCUUAUCAGCUUGCUGGUGGGGUAGUGGCUUACCAAGGCUUUGACGGGUAGCCGGCCUGAGAGGGCGACCGGCCACACUGGGACUGAGAUACGGCCCAGACUCCUACGGGAGGCAGCAGUGGGGAAUAUUGCACAAUGGGCGGAAGCCUGAUGCAGCAACGCCGCGGGCGGGAUGACGGCCUUCGGGUUGUAAACCGCUUUCAGCAGGGGCGAAGCUUGUGGUGACGGUACCUGCAGAAGAAGCACCGGCUAACUACGUG